GAUGAAGAACGCAGCGAAAUGCGAUAAGUAAUGUGAAUUGCAGAAUUCAGUGAAUCAUCGAAUCUUUGAACGCACAUUGCGCCCGCUAGUAUUCUGGCGGGCAUGCCUGUCCGAGCGUCAUUUCAACCCUCAAGCCCCCGGGCCUGGUGUUGGGGAUCGGCGAGCCUCCGCGCCCGCCGUCCCCUAAAUCUAGUGGCGGUCUCGCUGUAGCUUCCUCUGCGUAGUAGCACACCUCGCACUGGGAAACAGCGCGGCCACGCCGUUAAACCCCCAACUUCUGAACGUUUGACCUCGGAUCAGGUAGGAAUACCCGCUGAACUUAAGCAUAUCAAUAAGCGGAGGA
rnacentral:misc_RNA from 1 species